rnacentral:rRNA from 1 species
GACGAACGCUGGCGGCGUGCCUAAUACAUGCAAGUAGAACGCUGAAGGAGGAGCUUGCUCUUCUGGAUGAGUUGCGAACGGGUGAGUAACGCGUAGGUAACCUGCCUGGUAGCGGGGGAUAACUAUUGGAAACGAUAGCUAAUACCGCAUAACAUUGACUAUUGCAUGAUAGUCAAUUAAAAGGUGCAAAUGCACCACUACCAGAUGGACCUGCGUUGUAUUAGCUAGUUGGUGGGGUAACGGCUCACCAAGGCGACGAUACAUAGCCGACCUGAGAGGGUGAUCGGCCACACUGGGACUGAGACACGGCCCAGACUCCUACGGGAGGCAGCAGUAGGGAAUCUUCGGCAAUGGACGGAAGUCUGACCGAGCAACGCCGCGUGAGUGAAGAAGGGUGUCGGAUCGUAAAGCUCUGUUGUAAGAGAAGAACGAGUGUGAGAGUGGAAAGUUCACACUGUGACGGUAUCUGACCAGAAAGGGACGGCUAACUACGUG